rnacentral:rRNA from 1 species
AACGUAGGAGGCGAGCGUUAUCCGGAUUUACUGGGUGUAAAGCGCGUGCAGGCGGUUCUGCAAGUGGGACGUGAAAGCGCCCGGCUCAACCGGGCGAGGACGUACCGAACUGCGGGACUGGAGGCAGGUAGAGGCGUGUGGAAUUCCGGGUGUAGUGGUGAAAUGCGUAGAGAUCCGGAGGAACACCAGUGGCGAAGGCGACACGCUGGGCCUGACCUGACGCUCAGACGCGAAAGCAUGGGGAGCGAACGGGAUUAGAAACCCUAGUAGUCC